UGGUACAAGGAGGAUGAAGACUCACCUAAAGCAUCAGGACACAACUUCACCAUCAGCAACAUCAGACCUGAGCACAGUGGGAGUUAUUACUGUGUGGCCCACAACAACAGAGGACGUCAUAAUGUCACCUUACAGCUGACUGUCAGGGAAGAUUUCCCGCAGGCGGCAAAACUAGCUGUCACUGGAAUAACUCUUGUGGUUUUCCUAGUUAUUAUAUGCCUCUUGGUCUUUUUCCUGCUUGCAAAAAAGAAGCCCUCAGCAUUAUUUCCUGUGCCUGGAAACAGACGGGACAACAACAACAAGGUUUCCUGCACAUCUCCAAGUCAGCACACAGGGAAGACAGAGUCUCCACCCAGUCACUCAGAGGAAGAGGAAGAGCUUAACUAUGCUAGUGUCCGAUUCUCAACGAACCAGACUGAUCCCAUUUAUUACAACAUCCGAUCAGCUGGAUCCCGCAGACAAAAGGUGAAAGAGGAGGAUGAGCAUGUAGAGUACGCUGCAGUCAACUUCAGUCCUGCCCUGAGAACUGUACACCAGGACAGUGAGGAGGAUCCGUCUGAAUUGUACAGCACAGUCAA